rnacentral:tRNA from 1 species
GGGCCCUUAGCUUAGUCUGGUCUCAGAGCACCCGGCUCAUAACCGGGCGAUCGGUGGUUCAAAUCCGCCAGGGCCCA